AUUGAACGCUGGCGGCAUGCUUUACACAUGCAAGUCGAACGGAGUGGCGGACGGGUGAGUAAUGUAUCGGAACGUGCCCAAUGGCGGGGGAUAACUACUGGAAACUGUGGCUAAUACCGCAUACUAUUGGAUCGGCCGAUAUGGGAUUAGCUAGUUGGUGGGGUAAAGGCUCACCAAGGCGACGAUCCGUAGCUGGUCUGAGAGGACGACCAGCCACACUGGGACGGAGACACGGCCCAGACUCCUACGGGAGGCAGCAGUGGGGAAUUUUGGACAAUGGGGGAAACCCUGACCCAGCCAUGCCGCGUGUAUGAAGAAGGCCUUCGGGUUGUAAAGUACUUUUGGCGGAGAAGCGUUAUCUGCAGAAGAAGCACCGGCUAACUCCGUGCCAGCAGCCGCGGUAAUAC
rnacentral:rRNA from 1 species